GACGAACGCUGGCGGCGUGCUUAACACAUGCAAGUCGAACGGUAAGUAUCUUUCGGGGUACACGAGUGGCGAACGGGUGAGUAACACGUGGGUGAUCUGCCCCAAACUUUGGGAUAAGCCUGGGAAACUGGGUCUAAUACCGGAUAUGACCAUGGGAUGCAUGUUCUGUGGUGGAAAGCUUUUGCGGUUUGGGAUGGGCCCGCGGCCUAUCAGCUUGUUGGUGGGGUAAUGGCCUACCAAGGCGACGACGGGUAGCCGGCCUGAGAGGGCGACCGGCCACACUGGGACUGAGACACGGCCCAGACUCCUACGGGAGGCAGCAGUGGGGAAUAUUGCACAAUGGGCGCAAGCCUGAUGCAGCGACGCCGCGUGAGGGAUGACGGCCUUCGGGUUGUAAACCUCUUUCAGUAGGGACGAAGCUUUCGGGUGACGGUACCUACAGAAGAAGCACCGGCCAACUACGUGCCAGCCGCCGCCGUAACAC
rnacentral:rRNA from 1 species